rnacentral:rRNA from 1 species
GACGAACGCUGGCGGCGUGCUUAACACAUGCAAGUCGAACGGAAAGGCCCUGCCUUUGUGGGCUGCUCGAGUGGCGACCGGGUGAGUAACACGUGAGUACCCUGCCCCUGACUUUGGGAUAUCCUCAGGCCACUGGGUCUCAUACCGGCUAGGAGUUCUCGCUGCUUGGUGGGGGCUGGUAAGUUUCGGCGGUUGGGGAUGGACUGGCCGCCCAUCAGCUUGUUGGUGGGGUAGUGGCUUAGCAUGGCCUUGACAGGUAGCCGGGCUGAGAGGGGGAGCGGCCCAGUUAGGAUGGGGAUGAGACCCAGACUCGUACGGGAGGCAGCGGUGGAGUAGAGAACACAAUGGGCGGAAGGCUGGUGCAGCAACGCAGCGUGGGGGAUGACAGCCUGCGGGUUGGAAAGCGCAUCCGCCUGUGACGAAGCGUGAAUGACGGUAAUGGGUAAAGAAGCACCGGCUAACUACGUG